GAUGAACGCUAGCGGCAGGCCUAAUACAUGCAAGUCGCACGGACGCUUUCGGGCGUUAGUGGCGAACGGGUGAGUAACACGUGAGCAACCUGCCCCUGACUCUGGGAUAACCCCGAGAAAUCGGAGCUAAUACCGGAUACGAGACGCACGGGCAUCUGUAGCGUCUGGAAAGAAUUUUGGUCAGGGAUGGGCUCGCGGCCUAUCAGCUUGUUGGUGGGGUAAUGGCCUACCAAGGCGACGACGGGUAGCCGGCCUGAGAGGGCGACCGGCCACACUGGGACUGAGACACGGCCCAGACUCCUACGGGAGGCAGCAGUGGGGAAUAUUGCACAAUGGGCGAAAGCCUGAUGCAGCGACGCCGCGUGGGGGAUGAA
rnacentral:rRNA from 1 species